rnacentral:RNase_P_RNA from 1 species
GAAGUGGACCAGACGAUCGCUGGUGCCGGUUUGGGCACGAGAGGAAAGUCCGGGCUCCAAAGAGCAGAGUGGUCGGUAACGCCGACCGGUCGCGAGACUAGGGCAAGUGCAGCAGAAAGCAAACCGCCUAGCGAUGGAUUCCAUCGUUCGGUAAGGGUGAAACGGUGAGGUAAGAGCUCACCAGCAGACGAGGCGACUCGUUUGGCUAGGUAAACCCCACUCGGAGCAAGGCCAAACAGAAAGGAGCGGAGCGCAUUGCGGUUCGCACGGUUCGGCUCGAACCGUUGACUUUCGGGUAGGCUGCUGGAGACGUCAAGCAAUUGCCGUCCUAGAUAAAUGAUCGUCCGCUGCAAAGUGACAGAACCCGGCUUAUCGGUUCACUUCCCGU